CUACGGGGUGCACCAGUGGGGGAUAUUGCACAAUGGAGGAAACUCUGAUGCAGCAACGCCGCGUGAGGGAAGAAGGUCUUCGGAUUGUAAACCUAAGUAGUCAGGGACGAUAAUGACGGUACCUGAAGAGUAAGCUCCGGCUAACUACGUGCCAGCAGCCGCGGUAAUACGUAGGGAGCGAGCGUUAUCCGGAUUUACUGGGUGUAAAGGGUGCGUAGGUGGGUUGGCAAGUCAGGCGUGAAAUACCGAGGCUCAACUUCGGGGCUGCGCUUGAAACUGUAAAUCUUGAGUGAAGUAGAGGCAAGCGGAAUUCCUAGUGUAGCGGUGAAAUGCGUAGAUAUUAGGAGGAACACCAGUGGCGAAAGCGGCUUGCUGGGCUUUUACUGACGCUGAGGCACGAAAGCAUGGGGAGCAAACAGGAUUAGAUACCCUAGUAGUC
rnacentral:rRNA from 1 species